rnacentral:lncRNA from 1 species
UAUGGUUUCCUUCUUCAAUUUAUUAGUCAUGGUGGGGUGUCAGAUUUGGAGUUCGAUCACGCGUGUGGGAUGUUGCCCCGGUCUAGUUCGUUCAACGACAAGGGCUUCACUUUUGGUGAGCCACCUUAAAGGUCCGUAAAGUUGCAUAUCAACGAUGGGACCGCGUCAAGCUCGGAUGAGGAGGUGAUUCAUCAUUCUUUUCUUCGGUGACUGCUGUGGUGGUGCCAGAAACAGGUGGCGGACAUUAGUGUCAAGUUUAGAUAUGUCCUGCUAUCUUUUUAGUUUUAUCAUGUCGG